UAGGGAAUCUUCGGCAAUGGACGGAAGUCUGACAGAGCAACGCCGCGUGAGUGAAGAAGGUUUUCGGAUCGUAAAGCUCUGUUGUUAGAGAAGAACGUUGGUAGGAGCGGAAAAUCUACCAAGUGACGGUAACUAACCAGAAAGGGACGGCUAACUGCGUGCCAGCAGCCGCGGUAAUACGUAGGUCCCGAGCGUUGUCCGGAUUUAUUGGGCGUAAAGCGAGCGCAGGCGGUUCUUUAAGUCUGAAGUUAAAGGCAGUGGCUUAACCAUUGUACGCUUUGGAAACUGGAGGACUUGAGUGCAGAAGGGGAGAGUGGAAUUCCAUGUGUAGCGGUGAAAUGCGUAGAUAUAUGGAGGAACACCGGUGGCGAAAGCGGCUCUCUGGUCUGUAACUGACGCUGAGGCUCGAAAGCGUGGGGAGCAAACAGG
rnacentral:rRNA from 1 species